AAAGAGAAAGAGAGUUUUAACCAAAAAAAGUCACAUAAAGAAAAAUUGUUAUUUUUGUUGUAUACCUGUUUUAUAUACAUACAUAUGUAGAAUAGUUGUUGUUGUCUCACCAUUACAACUACAACUUUAACAAUCACAAUAAGAAAAACAAAUAAUACUACAACGAUAACGGUCACGUCAACGGUUUAACGUUCAACGAUAAAUUUGUAUCAAAUAACAAUAAUGUGAAUAAUUCAAAAUCAAUUACAUAUUAAUUUAGAUGAUAAAUUAAAAA